UUUUCUACUGUUUGAUACCAGCUGGUGCCAGAGGUUCUGCAAAUGACAAGGCAAUGGUGAGGUGUCCUUUGUGAUUAUCUUCAUCUGGUGAAAAUGAGCUGCUGGAUUGGCACCUGCUUUCUCGCUCCGGCAAACAGAAAUGAAAGGAGCAAAACAUAUAACAGGAAGCUCCUAUAAUAAAUCCACCAGCUCUCUAGGAGUCCCUGACAAGGCCUGUGAAAUUUCUUUGUAACCUGAAGAUGGAAGAUCUUACUAGAUGAGGAAAGCAAGUGAGCAUUGACCUCCAGCACCAGAAUGUGUAAUGUGAAAUUUCUUGGUAAAUGAAGCUGACAAAAAGCUACUACACCCAUUGAAAUUAACUAAAUCAUAGGAAAAAUCAAUUCUUAAUUCUGCCUUUAAAAUUGUGCCAUAGAAUCAAUGUUUAGAAAACCUUUAAAAA